UUCCACUGUGGAUAGCUCUAACCAACAAAUUGUGGGUGCGGGAGUAUCCACAUCCCACCUUCCUAUCCCCUUGUCUGGAAGAAUUCUGAGGCAUAUGUUUUACACCAUUUCCCAAAGCUUCCCUGUGAGAUUAAGCUUCAGUGUCUUAAUAACACACAUCUUAUUGACUGUGUCUUAUUCCAUUUUUUAUAUUAUUAUUCCCCUAUCAGUGUACUGGCACCUGCCAAAUUAACAAUGUGCAUUUAGUCCUUAUCAUGAGAUCUGCUUCUUGGGGUCCCAACUAAGACAAUAGUGUUUCCAGCAAAAAAAAAAAAAAAAAAAAAAAAAAAAAAAAACUUGUGAGCUUGAGACCUAUUCAUCUUUUAAAAAGAGAGAUUAGGAAAUAACAGGAGGGUUUUCAUAGAAAAACUAGCACCUAUUUGAAUCCUUUUAGUCAACAUAAACAACAAUAACUAA
rnacentral:lncRNA from 1 species